UUCCAAUGAUGAGCCUGCCAUGCUAAUACCGAUGCACCAGGUAGAUGUAUGUCUGUCUGGGUGUAAGUGAGUUGAGUUAACUUCUCACGCUGUGGUCCAGUGUGCUCUGAGGAGG
ensembl:snoRNA small nucleolar RNA U6-53/MBII-28